UUGUUGCAUUUGUUAGUAGUCCAGGUAACCCGUACUGUUUGAUAUCAAUCUGUUGUUUAGUUGAGUUUUGAAAGUGCCGCUAGACAGACGUGUCAAGACAUAUACCGUGCGUUUCAACUUUUGUGGAGUGCAAACGAGAAAGAAAAGAAAAGGAAAGGAGAAGACGAGCUUGCAGGAAAAAUAUUCCAGAUAAACUGCCGAACUUCAAAGUUUCAACGAUGUUCAGAGCAUGGAUGGCAAUCGGGUUGAUGGCGGCGAUCGCCGCCAACUGCGGACUCGCGUUUGUCGUAGACCGAUCAGCCGGUGCGUGGGAUGCGGUGCCCAAUUUGGACGCCGAACAUGCGUCGUCGGUGGACCGGGUGUUGAAUGGAAAAAUGCAGGUGACCGGAAUGGACAAGGUGUUGCAAUCGUCCGAUGCGAAA
rnacentral:misc_RNA from 1 species